CAAUAAGCGGAGGAAAAGAAACCAACAGGGAUUGCCCCAGUAACGGCGAGUGAAGCGGCAACAGCUCAAAUUUGAAAUCUGGCCCCCCCCUGGGGGGUCCGAGUUGUAAUUUGGAGAGGAUGCUUUGGGCGCGGCGCCUUCCGAGUGCCUUGGAACAGGACGCCGGAGAGGGUGAGAGCCCCGUACGGUAGGACGCCUAGCCCGUGUAAAGCUCCUUCGACGAGUCGAGUAGUUUGGGAAUGCUGCUCAAAAUGGGAGGUAAAUUUCUUCUAAAGCUAAAUACUGGCCAGAGACCGAUAGCGCACAAGUAGAGUGAUCGAAAGAUGAAAAGCACUUUGAAAAGAGGGUUAAACAGCACGUGAAAUUGUUGAAAGGGAAGCGCCUGUGGCCAGACGUGCGCCCCGCGGACCACCCGCCGCUCUGCGGCGGGGCACUCCGCGGCGGCGCAGGCCAGCAUCGGCUCUCCGAGGGGGACAAAGGUCGCGGGAACGUAGCUCUUUCGGGAGUGUUAUAGCCCGCGGCGCCAUGCCCCUGGGGGGGCCGAGG
rnacentral:rRNA from 1 species